rnacentral:rRNA from 1 species
UACGUAGGGUCCAAGCGUUAUCCGGAAUUACUGGGCGUAAAGCGUGCGCAGGCGGUGAUGUAAGACAGUUGUGAAAUCCCCGGGCUCAACCUGGGAACUGCAUCUGUGACUGCAUCGCUGGAGUGCGGCAGAGGGGGAUGGAAUUCCGCGUGUAGCAGUGAAAUGCGUAGAUAUGCGGAGGAACACCGAUGGCGAAGGCAAUCCCCUGGGCCUGCACUGACGCUCAUGCACGAAAGCGUGGGGAGCAAACAGG